rnacentral:rRNA from 1 species
CCGUGGGAAACUACGGCUAAUACCGCAUGAUCCCUGAGGGGCAAAGGCGAAAGUCGCCUGAGGAGGAGCCUGCGUCUGAUUAGGUAGUUGGUGGGGUAAAGGCCUACCAAGCCUGCGAUCAGUAGCUGGUCUGAGAGGAUGAUCAGCCACAUUGGGACUGAGACACGGCCCAAACUCCUACGGGAGGCAGCAGUGGGGAAUAUUGGACAAUGGGCGAAAGCCUGAUCCAGCAAUGCCGCGUGUGUGAAGAAGGUCUUCGGAUUGUAAAGCACUUUUGGCAGGGACGAUGAUGACGGUACCUGCAGAAUAAGCCCCGGCUAACUUCGUG